GUGCUCACUUUGGCAGCACCUAUACUAAAACUAGAACAAUACAGAGAUUUGCAUGGCCCCUGUGCAAGGAUGACAUGCAAAUGCAUGAAGCAUUCCAUUUUUCU